rnacentral:lncRNA from 1 species
UGACCCUUUGUGUUGGUGUUUCCUUCAUUUGGGCAGUUACCUGUAGAUGUGGCCUAUGCAGGAAUCAAACUCAUAAUAGGGAUAUUGCUGCAAACAACUGGUGUACCUGGCAUUGGUGUGUACAUUGACCUAUUGGAGAACACACACACACACACACAAACACACUUCACUGUUGGAAGGCGUAUGAAAAUCAGGGUCAUGACUGACUCAACAAAAAUGUCUAAAGGUGAAAAAUUCGAAUGGUUCUCUCUGCCUCUCGCACUUAUCCUCCACUCUUCUCCUCCACUCUUAUCCUCCACUCUUCUCCUUUUCACUUCUUUCUUUCUUUUCUUCUUCUCUCAUUCUUUUUUUGUGCCUGUCUUUGAAGUGAGGAAGUUUGCAGAAAACCUCUCAGAAGAAAAGCAGCAAACGCCAAAGAUGAAGAGAAGGCUUUAUGGAUAGAGAAACAGAGAAUGGGGAGAAAGGAGAGCGAGGAGUUUAGACUUCUGCACUGUUUCCUCUCUCUUCAGUCUGUCUGUCGUUUUUUUUGAAGCGCAUUGUCUCUCUUCUCUUCUUCUCUCCCCUGUUUUUCUCAAGCUGGUCAUCUCCAGAAUGAAUAGAAGGCUUGUACUUACAGUCCUGGCCCUGAAUGUUGUAACCAAUGAAAUCAAGGUAUCCACCUCCCAACCUCUCACACCAUCCAACUCCACUCCUGCUACCUUCAUUCCCCCUGCUCCCACCACUUCCUGUGUGUGUAAAGUCUCCACUUCCUGUUCCUCUCCGACCCAGCCCGAGUCUCCGCCACCUGCGCUGGGUGUUAUCAAGGUCAAAUGGGAAGAAAAGUCCUGGCUGUGUAAGAGGAAGGGCUGCGAGGGCUCCCCAACAUGGACUAAGAUCAAUCCUAAAGCUUUGGGUUACCAGAUCAGUACGAAUGGAAGUGUUGCCAACAACCCCUGUACAACACUGGGGAUCCAAUGCGAAGUCGUCUCAGAUCAGUUAGUGGGCUAUAAGGUGGUGACUGGUCUGCUGUGUGUUCUGGUGCUGGUGGUGCUGAUGGUGCGUUUCGGGCAGCCCUCCUUCAAGGCCCUCCGUAGGAGACUGUCAGACAAGAGGCAGAGUCGGUGGAUCGGACCUACACAGAGCCAAAGUGUCUCCUACCAUAGAGGGAAGGCUGGACUCCAACUUAACGACAACACAGACAAGAGACACUCCUACCCUGGAUUGGAGAGGCUGACGGUGAACACCAGCCGAGAGCCUUCGUCUAACAGAAACAGUGAUUACGACUCUUAUAACUUGUGA